rnacentral:sRNA from 1 species
GCGGGCUCGAGCUUCCUCGGGGAGUGCCAGCCAGAGUCGGUGACGACCACUUCCUCGACGUGGGGCGGGCGGACGGGAAGCCUGCGGUCGUGGCCCCCGCCUCGGGAGCUCUGGGAGCCCGGGUGACCGCGUAGAAAUGAACACAGAAGCGGAGCAACAGCUUCUCCAUCACGCCAGAAAUGGCAAUGCUGAAGAAGUAAGACAACUAUUAGAGACCAUGGCGAGGAAUGAAGUGAUUGCUGACAUUAAUUGCAAAGAUGGAGUGUCGCUCUGUUGGCCAGAAUGGAGCUCAGUGGCGCGAUCUCGGCUCACUGCAGCCUCCACCACCCGAGUUCGAGUAAUUCUCCUGCCUCACCCUCCCGAGUAGCUGGGAUUACAGCCAUGCACUACCAUGCCCGGCUAAUUUUUGUAUUUUUAGUAGAGACGGGGUUUCACUAU